rnacentral:rRNA from 1 species
AGUGAACGCUGGCGGUAGGCCUAACACAUGCAAGUCGAACGGCAGCACAGUAAGAGCUUGCUCUUACGGGUGGCGAGUGGCGGACGGGUGAGGAAUACAUCGGAAUCUACUUUUUCGUGGGGGAUAACGUAGGGAAACUUACGCUAAUACCGCAUACGACCUACGGGUGAAAGCAGGGGAUAUUCGGACCUUGCGCGAUUGAAUGAGCCGAUGUCGGAUUAGCUAGUUGGCGGGGUAAAGGCCCACCAAGGCGACGAUCCGUAGCUGGUCUGAGAGAAUGAUCAGCCACACUGGAACUGAGACACGGUCCAGACUCCUACGGGAGGCAGCAGUGGGGAAUAUUGGACAAUGGGCGCAAGCCUGAUCCAGCCAUACCGCGUGGGUGAAGAAGGCCUUCGGGUUGUAAAGCCCUUUUGUUGGGAAAGAAAAGCAGCAGGUUAAUACCCCGCUGUUCUGACGGUACCCAAAGAAUAAGCACCGGCUAACUUCGUG